rnacentral:rRNA from 1 species
CCUACGGGUGGCAGCAGUGAGGAAUAUUGGUCAAUGGACGAGAGUCUGAACCAGCCAAGUAGCGUGAAGGAUGACUGCCCUAUGGGUUGUAAACUUCUUUUAUAUGGGAAUAAAAUGUUCCACGUGUGGGAUUUUGUAUGUACCAUAUGAAUAAGGAUCGGCUAACUCCGUGCCAGCAGCCGCGGUAAUACGGAGGAUCCGAGCGUUAUCCGGAUUUAUUGGGUUUAAAGGGUGCGUAGGCUGUGAGGUAAGUCAGCGGUGAAAUGCCCCCGCUCAACGGGGUGAAGUGCCAUUGAUACUGCCUUGAUGGAAUGCGGAUGCCGUGGGAGGAAUGUGUGGUGUAGCGGUGAAAUGCGUAGAUAUAUGGAAGAACACCAGUGGCGAAAGCGGCUCUCUGGUCUGUAACUGACGCUGAGGUUCGAAAGCGUGGGUAGCAAACAGGAUUAGAUACCCCAGUAGUC